GGAGUUGUGGCUCAGUGAUAGAGCACUUGCCUAGCAUGUGUGAGGACCUAGGUUCAAUUCUUAGCACUGCA
rnacentral:tRNA from 1 species